CUGCUGUCACACCUGUCCUGCAUAUACAAUCGUCAGGAACCCUUCUUAAGGAGCAGCAGGAGCACCAGUCUUCGCCUGAUCGUUUUGCCCUCCUAGUGCCUCGUCCCAGCCUGCAUCCACCUGAGCCUGACAGAUUCCCUGGCUUCCCCUCUCGCCCUACGCGGCUCGGGAGAACCCCCUCCAGCCAGCCGGAUCACUGCCUCUCCCUCCAGUGUGGCUUCCAUCAAUUGUAUUGCUCCUGCUGCCCGGACCCUUGUGCCUGCCUGUUUCUCCAGCGUCUCCCCCGGCCACGGAUUCAGCGCUGCCUAUUUAAAUCCAUUUGCUGCCGAAAAUAAAAUCUUUUUUAUCCUCAGAAUCCUGCGUUUGAGUCCCACCUUUGUUUUGGCCGUCACCCCGUGACACUAUCUCUGUUUUGAGUUCGUGCCUCAGACGCUGUGCAGUGGUUUUUAGAGAGUUUGUCAAUACAGGUCCCCUCAGAUAAGAUCCGCUACCAGGGACGGCCCUUACACCCUCCUUAUCAGCCCCCUAUGUGAGAAGAUGUGGAGCUCUCAGCAGAAGACACAACAGACGCUAGCAAUGUCUGAAAAUAAUGUUGCACAAAACCUUUAGUAGCUCCAGAAUUAACUGAAAAAUUUACUUAACCAAUCUUGUAAUUUCUGCUCGGACAGGACACAGAAAAGUUCUAGGCGUCCCAGCAUAUGUUGUUACUGGUAUGACAGCGGAAGCUUUUUACUGUCAACGUCAUAAACUGCACUGCAACCUUUAUUAUUGUUUUAAUGUCUGUUUUUACUUAAUUGUUUUUUUGCUUGAUGUUUGGAUGGUCUUAUGUGAAGGACUUUUGAGAGGAUUGCCUUGUUGUUGAAAUGUGCUAUACAAAUAAAUUUGCCUUUCCU